rnacentral:rRNA from 1 species
GAUGAACGCUGGCGGCGUGCCUAAUACAUGCAAGUCGAGCGAACAGACGAGGAGCUUGCUCCUCUGACGUUAGCGGCGGACGGGCGAGUAACACGUGGAUAACCUACCUAUAAGACUGGGAUAACUUCGGGAAACCGGAGCUAAUACCGGAUAACAUGUUGAACCGCAUGGUUCAACAGUGAAAGACGGUCUUGCUGUCACUUAUAGAUGGAUCCGCGCCGCAUUAGCUAGUUGGUAAGGUAACGGCUUACCAAGGCAACGAUGCGUAGCCGACCUGAGAGGGUGAUCGGCCACACUGGAACUGAGACACGGUCCAGACUCCUACGGGAGGCAGCAGUAGGGAAUCUUCCGCAAUGGGCGAAAGCCUGACGGAGCAACGCCGCGUGAGUGAAGAAGGUCUUCGGAUCGUAAAACUCUGUUAUUAGGGAAGAACAAAUGUGUAAGUAACUAUGCACGUCUUGACGGUACCUAAUCAGAAAGCCACGGCUAACUACGUG